GCUGACCUCCCAGGCUCAGUGAAACAACCUAGUGAGAUCCAGUACAGCUUCCAACUUAUAUUAGACCAACUUUCCUCCCUAUGACAUUAAUAGCUGGGGUAUGGAGCUGUCAGAGUGACACGUAAACUCCAAUCAGAUCACCAAGUGGCCUCAGAAAUGCACACAUACAAGAGUCCCUCUGUCAGUUCUGAGACACCUGAAGCUAGGAGUGGAGUGAAACCAGCACCCCUGAGGACACCACCACUAUGACUGUGCUCAGCCAGACUUGAAGCCAGCACAACACUGGGUCUUCCCUGCUGUAACCACUCCCUGGCCACUGCCUAUGUUUGCUCAAGGCCUUGGGGCUCUACAAUAAACAGGUGGAAAAGCCAUCCAGGUCUG
rnacentral:lncRNA from 10 species